UACGUAGGGUGCAAGCGUUGUCCGGAAUUAUUGGGCGUAGAGAGCUCGUAGGCGGUUCGUCGCGUCGGCUGUGAAAACCCGGAGCUCAACUCCGGGCCUGCAGUCGAUACGGGCGGACUUGAGUGUUGCAGGGGAGACUGGAAUUCCUGGUGUAGCGGUGGAAUGCGCAGAUAUCAGGAGGAACACCGGUGGCGAAGGCGGGUCUCUGGGCAGUAACUGACGCUGAGGAGCGAAAGCGUGGGGAGCGAACAGG
rnacentral:rRNA from 1 species